AAAAUGUCUCAAAAAGGGACAAUCUGUCAGUGAAACCUUGGAAAAGGGUUAUAAACGAACGGCAUUGGCUCACGACAAUGCCGAUAAAAUUGAUUCUAAGAAGUUA
rnacentral:ribozyme from 1 species